rnacentral:rRNA from 1 species
GACAGAGGUCCCGAGCGUUAGGCGGAAUCACUGGGCUUAAAGCGUGUGUAGGCGGAGUUCUAAGUACCUUGUGAAAUCCCACGGCUUAACCGUGGAACUGCUUGGUAUACUGGUUCUCUUGAGCCACCUAGGGGCAACCGGAACAAACGGUGGAGCGGUGAAAUGCGUAGAUAUCAGGAGGAACACCGAUGGCGAAGGCAGCUCGCUGGGACGGUACUGACGCUGAGACGCGAAAGCGUGGGGAGCAAACAGG